rnacentral:rRNA from 1 species
UACGGGGGGAGCAAGCGUUGUUCGGAUUUACUGGGCGUAAAGGGCGCGUAGGCGGUCGUGACAAGUCACUUGUGAAAUCUCCGGGCUUAACUCGGAACGGUCAAGUGAUACUGUCGGACUAGAGUACAGAAGGGGCAACUGGAAUUCUCGGUGUAGCGGUGAAAUGCGUAGAUAUCUGGAGGAACACCGGUGGCGAAGGCGGCAUUCUGGACCGACAUUGACGCUGAGGAGCGAAAGCCAGGGGAGCAAACGGG